rnacentral:sRNA from 1 species
CGAAGCGAGAGAACGUUGCCGCAGGCAACGGCCCGAAGGGCGAAGCGCUUUAGCGCCGAGUAAUCCUUCCCCCACCACUG